rnacentral:lncRNA from 1 species
AAAGCAGGUCGCUGGUGCAGGAUACCAGCCUGGCUAACCGAGCUCCUGUUUCUCUCUUUCCCUUGGAAAUGUGAGCUUGGCUUCCCAGGGUCCUGAGUUUGAAGUGACCCCAGAUGCAGAGGACAAGUGGCCAAGCACAAUUGUUCGAGUUCCAGGCCAUCUGGAGGGUGGAAACAUCAGAAGCCCAAGGGAAGGUGCCAAGCUGCUACCAAAGCCACAGGAAUUAGA